rnacentral:tRNA from 1 species
GACAACGUGUCCGAGUGGUUAAGGAGAUAGACUUGAAUUCAUCAAACGAAUUAGAUAUCUAUUGGCUUCGGCCUCGCAGGUUCGAAUCCUGUCGUUGUCG